rnacentral:lncRNA from 1 species
UAGUCAUUCAAGGCCUUAUUCUUUCCAUUUAUGGUCAAUUCUAUCACAGGCUUAUGCUUGAUUGCCAUUUAUCACCAUCUCCAGCAUAGCUUCUCUUCUGAUUCCAAACCAGCUGACUUCUUUGUAGGUCUGUAUUGUUCUCUUAACUUGCCCAUUUUACCUGAAGUUUCUCUCCCUUUCUUACACCAAUACAGAUUAUAAGCUCUCAGGGUGGGCACUUAUUUUGUGUUGCAUGCGCCGUGUUUAGCCACCGUUGGCACUUAAUAAGCACAUUAAACAAACGGCUACAUAAAGGGUAACUCCCCUGCUUUGGUAAAGUAAUGAAAACCUCAACAUUACGCACAAUCACAACACCAAGUACAAUUGUGAUUUAAAUGCACUUGCACUCUACUACUGAGUGUACGUGGGUUUAUCUAUUUACCCUUUCCACCCUACCUUUCCAAAUGUGCGGCGAUAAAGAGCUAUCAUCUGGGAAAAGUAGU